rnacentral:rRNA from 1 species
UACGAAGGGGGCGAGCGUUGUUCGGAAUUACUGGGCGUAAAGCGCGCGCAGGCGGUCCUUUAAGUCUGAUGUGAAAGCCCACGGCUCAACCGUGGAGGGUCAUUGGAAACUGGGGGACUUGAGUACAGGAGAGAGGAGUGGAAUUCCACGUGUAGCGGUGAAAUGCGUAGAGAUGUGGAGGAACACCGGUGGCGAAGGCGGGUCUCUGGGCCGAUACUGACGCUGAGGAGCGAAAGCGUGGGGAGCGAACAGG